UCAUACUAAUUUGCACCAGCUCUUCCAACAUCUCCCAGAACCACCUACAAAACUUUCAAACAUACAACAGAGGAUGAAGAAGGCAAAUCCCUGGAUGACCCGCAUUCGAAUCUCAAAACUAGGACGAAUUAGAUUUCAUGGGGAUUAAUGAUGUCACCAGUUUGGAUGUGUUCAUGCUUGAUGACAAUGGCGAGAAACUACACGGGAUGGUACCAAAGAACCUAAUCCGGAAAUUUGAUCCUUGCUUCCCAUUGGCGACAUAUAUUUCCUACACUAUUCUUGGGGGAAAAGAAGAUAUUUUGCCCCGCUCGCAGUGACCACCGUCUCUUCUUCAAGUGGGAUACCGAGGAAAUGAAUAGAGCCAAUGGUCAUUGCACGAUGCGGGACCC